rnacentral:rRNA from 1 species
CGCAUCUGUGCAUGCAGCAUAUCAAUAAGCGGAGGAAAAGAAACUAACAAGGAUUCCCCUAGUAACGGCGAGUGAAGCGGGAAGAGCUCAAAUUUGAAAUCUUAAAGGGUUUCCCUUUACGAAUUGUAGUUUAAAGAAGUGUUUUCUGUUGAGGUUUUGGUAAAAGUUCUUUGGAAUAGGACAUCAUAGAGGGUGAGAAUCCCGUAUUUGACCUUUACUUUCAACUUUGUGAUACACUUUCAAAGAGUCGGAUUGUUUGGGAAUGCAGUCCAAAAUGGGUGGUAAAUUUCAUCUAAAGCUAAAUAUUGGCGAGAGACCGAUAGCGAACAAGUACCGUGAGGGAAAGAUGAAAAGAACUUUGAAAAGAGAGUUAAACAGUACGUGAAAUUGUCAAAAGGGAAGCGUUUGACACCAGUGUUGUUUUUCUGAAAAUCAAUUAAAGAACUGUUUAUGCUAAGUUGUUUAGACUUUAUCAGCUAACUGUUUAGUUUUGAGCUUUUCUUUAAUGCACUUUUCAGUUAACAAGUCAACAUCAAUUUCUUUUGCUGUAAAAAAGCUUGAGGAAGGUGGCUUGAGAUUCGUCUUAAGUGUUUAUAGCCCUAUAGCUUCUAGCAGUCGGAGAGAUUGAGGUCUGCAGCGUAGAUCCUUCGGGGCUAAAGUGCAUUUGUGCUAAGUUAUAGCAUUUUAUAGACAACUUGUUGACUAUGAUUUGUCUUGUAGCUUACUCGCUUAUGUUAUUUUACCUACGCUUAGGAUGUUGAGCGCAUGUCUCUCUC